ACGGAAGGCAGCAGUGGGGGAUAUUGCACAAUGGAGGAAACUCUGAUGCAGCAACGCCGCGUGAAGGAAGAAGGUCUUCGGAUUGUAAACUUCUUUUAUAAGGGACGAAGAAAGUGACGGUACCUUAUGAAUAAGCCACGGCUAACUACGUGCCAGCAGCCGCGGUAAUACGUAGGUGGCAAGCGUUAUCCGGAUUUACUGGGUGUAAAGGGCGCGUAGGCGGGGAUGCAAGUCAGAUGUGAAAUCUAUGGGCUUAACUCAUAAACUGCAUUUGAAACUGUAUCUCUUGAGUGCUGGAGAGGUAGAUGGAAUUCCUUGUGUAGCGGUGAAAUGCGUAGAUAUAAGGAAGAACACCAGUGGCGAAGGCGAUCUACUGGACAGCAACUGACGCUGAGGCGCGAAAGCGUGGGGAGCAAACAGGAUUAGAUACCCUGGUA
rnacentral:rRNA from 1 species